rnacentral:rRNA from 1 species
AUGAGCUGCUUUAGACUUUCCAAGAAAUUGUGCAAGAAAUUAACCAAUAUUGUGGCCCGCUUCUUUUGGGGGGGAGAUGAUAAUAAGAGGAAUUUGCAUUGGAAGAAGUGGAAGGAUAUUGCAAUACCUAAAGGAGAAGGAGGGAUGGGUUUUAGGGAUUUCGAAUUAUUCAACCAGGCUAUGCUGGCGAAACAAGGCUAGAGGUUGCUUACAUCACCAGAUUCUCUAUGCGCUAGAGUCUUAAAGGGUAAGUACUAUCAUGAUCAUGAAUUUAUGUCAGCUAAGAACAAAAGAGGAUCCUCGCAUAUUUGGAGAGCCAUUCUUCAUGGCAGAGAGGGUCUAAAAUUAGGCCUGAUAAAGAGGGUUGGUGAUGGUUCUUCUAUUCACCCAUGGGAGGAUCCAUGGAUUCCC